ncrna:unclassified sequences EGFOA-assoc-1 RNA
AAGUGCUUUGUCAAGAAAGCCUAAAAAAAUCUUGACCAAUCGCCCCUUUGGCAAGAGGGUAGAGCGAUUUCCCUGAAAGGCAAAUCAUGGCACUAAGGGAGAUACCUGUAAGGGUCGGUUGUAAAGAAAACGAUUUAUCAAUCGUAGUAUAUGGUGGCAUGCAAUCAUGCGAACAUCGAGGAUCCAGUCAGACCGAUGUAAAACAAAUAAUGGCGGGGGGAUUAGCACACUUCCUGAGAUAGCGUGAUAGGCU